rnacentral:rRNA from 1 species
GACGAACGCUGGCGGCGUGCCUAAUACAUGCAAGUCGAACGCAGUUGCGAGCGGGUGAGUAACGCGUAGGUAACUUCCUCAUAGCAGGGGAGAACUAUGGGAAACGAUUGCUAAUACCGCCUCCUGUGAGAUGGACCUCCGUUGUAUUAGCUAGUUGGUUAGGUAAAGGCUCACCAAGGGGACGAUACAUAGCCGAGCUGGGAGGGUGAUCGGCCAAACUGGGACUGGUGAACGGCCCAGAAUUCUACGGGAGGGAGCAGUAGGGGAAUUUUGGGAAAGGGAGGAAGUCUGGCCGAGCAAAGCCGCGGGAGUGAAGAAAGUUUUCGGAACGUAAAGAUCUGUUGUUAGAGAAGCGGUAACUAACCAGAAAGCGACGGCUAACUACGUGCCAGCAGCCGCGGUAAUUC